rnacentral:rRNA from 1 species
UGGGGGUCCGGGAAAGCUCUGGCGGCGUGGGAUGGGGUCGCGUCCUAUCAGCUUGUUGGCGGGGUGAGGGCCCACCAAGGCUUCGACGGGUAGCCGGCCUGAGAGGGCGACCGGCCACAUUGGGACUGAGAUACGGCCCAGACUCCUACGGGAGGCAGCAGUGGGGAAUAUUGCACAAUGGGCGCAAGCCUGAUGCACCGACGCCGCGUGCGGGAUGGAGGCCUUCGGGUUGUAAACCGCUUUUGUUUGGGAGCAAGCCCUUCGGGGUGAGUGUACCUUUCGAAUAAGCACCGGCCAACUACCUGCCAGCAGCCCCGGUAAU